AUGGGCCCCGGGCCAGUGUGGUUGGUGGCCGUUUGUGUCCUGGGAGCAGGACCCGCGGAAUCCGGAGUCACCCAGACCCCCAGGCACCUGCUGUCCCGGACGGGGAAGAAGGUGACAUUGAGCUGUGAGCAGAACGACAAUCACAAUGCCAUGUACUGGUACCGGCAGGACCCGGAACAGGGGCUGCAGCUCAUCUAUUAUUCCGUUGGAAAAGGAGAGAAGACCAAGGGAGACGUCCCGCAGGGGUAUUCAGUCUCUCGGAAGGACAAGGCGCACUUCCCCCUGACCCUGGGGUCUGCAGACAUGAACCAGUCAUCACUGUAUUUCUGCGCGAGCAGUGGGCUGCUGUGUACUAACACCCAAUACUUUGGUGAGGGCACUCGGCUCUCUGUGGUGGAUGACUUGCAAAAGGUGAAGCUCCCAAAGGUGACUCUGUUUGACCCAUCUGAGGAGGAGAUCAAUGAGUUGGGGAAGGCCACCUUGGUCUGCCUGGCCACGGGCUUCUUCCCCGACCACGUGGAGAUGAGCUGGUGGGUGGACGGCCGGGAGAUGCAGGACGGGGUCAGCACGGAUGCCCAGCCCUUGAACGAGACCGAACCCGAGGCUUCGAACAGGACCUAUGCCCUGAGCAGUCGCCUCCGCGUCUCAGCGGGGUUCUGGCAGAACCCCUCGCGCCGCUUCCGCUGCCAGGUCCGCUUCUAUGGGCUCAAGGACAGUGACACAUGGAUUGACAGCACCCGGCCCAAACCCGUCACUCAGAACAUCAGCGCUGAGACCUGGGGAAAAGCAGAUUGUGGAAUCACCGCAGCAACCUACCAGAAGAGCAUCCAGUCAGCCACCUUCCUCUACGAGAUCCUCUUGGGAAAGGCCUUGGUCUAUGCAGUGCUGGUCAGCACUCUGGUGUGGAGGGCCAAGGCCAAAAAACAUACUUUGUAAGGUGAUCACCACACCGGUCUCUCUCCCUCAGCAAAAGAAGAAGGGGGAGAUCCCUGGACAUUCCCUCCAGAACCUGGCUCUGCUCCCCUCCCCAAAGCUCCCUCACCCCCCAUCCGAGUCAUUACCCCACCUCCAGUCCUGACCCAUCUCCCAGCAGGGGCCAGCCAGCCGCCUUUCUAUCUGCCUGUCUCCCUGGCUGUCCUCUGUCCACCUGUCUGCCUGCCUGUUGUCUGUGCAUCCUCCUGCCUUUCUGUAAGGAGAGGCCAAAUCCUGACACAAUAAAGGAGCCUUGGCUGC